AGCACCGGCAGGAAGCGGCGUGCCGGCCGGGCCCGACGCUGUCUCCAUGGCGACGACGGCGCUGCUGAGGCGGCGGAGGACUCCGAAAUGUCUCUGUUCCUAUGCAAAAACAGCUCUUGAAAAUACUAAAGAGAACCAAAGCUCUAGAUAACUUAUAUUUGCCCAUAACGUGUCUGCAGUGAGCAAUUGUAUCAAGAAGGUCAAAACUUCAAGAUUGUUCUACACAUCAAACAAAAUCAGUUCAGAGCUGUGAUGGUCUAUCGGAUAUACAGACAGCUACAAAUGAAGCUGUACAGGCAAUUUCUGUCUUAUAGUCUCAUCCAAGAGAAAUAGACCUCAAAGUGUUUCCACAGGUCAACUAAGCUGGAGGAGUGCACUAAAAAGCUGAGUCUGAACAUGGCUGCACAAUGAGAGUUCUUGGCAGACAGCUCUGAGCACUAGAACCUAAAGACUUACCCCAUGAUGCCGACGUUUAUAUUUCACCCGAAGAGACUUUUUUAGAUCCAUUUAAAAAAAAAGGUAAAGAAAAAAAAAAAAAGAACAACCC